rnacentral:rRNA from 1 species
GAGCCCGCACAAGCAGUGGAGUAUGUGGUUUAAUUCGAAGCAACGCGAAGAACCUUACCAGGGCUUGACAUCCUGCGAAUGCCGAUGUAAUGUUGGCAGUGCCUUUCGGGGAGCGCAGAGACAGGUGGUGCAUGGUUGUCGUCAGCUCGUGUCGUGAGAUGUUGGGUUAAGUCCCGCAACGAGCGCAACCCUUACGGUUAGUUGCUACGCAAGAGCACUUUAGCCGGACUGCCGUUGAUAAAACGGAGGAAGGUGGGGACGACGUCAAAUCAUCAUGCCCCUUACGCCCUGGGCAACACACGUACUACAAUGGCGAGAACAAAGGGAAGCAAUACCGCGAGGUGGAGCAAACCCCACAAAAAUCGUCUAAGUUCGGAUUGCAGGCUGCAACUCGCCUGCAUGAAGCUGGAAUUGCUAGUAAUCGCGGAUCAGCAUGCCG